rnacentral:rRNA from 1 species
ACCUGAAACCGUGUACGUACAAGCAGUGGGAGCCUCUUAAUGGGGUGACUGCGUACCUUUUGUAUAAUGGGUCAGCGACUUAUAUUCUGUAGCAAGGUUAACCGAAUAGGGGAGCCGAAGGGAAACCGAGUCUUAACUGGGCGUUAAGUUGCAGGGUAUAGACCCGAAACCCGGUGAUCUAGCCAUGGGCAGGUUGAAGGUUGGGUAACACUAACUGGAGGACCGAACCGACUAAUGUUGAAAAAUUAGCGGAUGACUUGUGGCUGGGGGUGAAAGGCCAAUCAAACCGGGAGAUAGCUGGUUCUCCCCGAAAGCUAUUUAGGUAGCGCCUCGUGAAUUCAUCUCCGGGGGUAGAGCACUGUUUCGGCAAGGGGGUCAUCCCGACUUACCAACCCGAUGCAAACUGCGAAUACCGGAGAAUGUUAUCACGGGAGACACACGGCGGGUGCUAACGUCCGUCGUGAAGAGGGAAACAACCCAGACCGCCAGCUAAGGUCCCAAAGUCAUGGUUAAGUGGGAAACGAUGUGGGAAGGCCCAGACAGCCAGGAUGUUGGCUUAGAAGCAGCCAUCAUUUAAAGAAAGCGUAAUAGCUCACUGGUCGAGUCGGCCUGCGCGGAAGAUGUAACGGGGCUAAACCAUGCACCGAAGCUGCGGCAGCGACACUAUGUGUUGUUGGGUAGGGGAGCGUUCUGUAAGCCUGUGAAGGUGGCCUGUGAGGGUUGCUGGAGGUAUCAGAAGUGCGAAUGCUGACAUAAGUAACGAUAAAGCGGGUGAAAAGCCCGCUCGCCGGAAGACCAAGGGUUCCUGUCCAACGUUAAUCGGGGCAGGGUGAGUCGACCCCUAAGGCGAGGCCGAAAGGCGUAGUCGAUGGGAAACAGGUUAAUAUUCCUGUACUUGGUGUUACUGCGAAGGGGGGACGGAGAAGGCUAUGUUGGCCGGGCGACGGUUGUCCCGGUUUAAGCGUGUAGGCUGGUUUUCCAGGCAAAUCCGGAAAAUCAAGGCUGAGGCGUGAUGACGAGGCACUACGGUGCUGAAGCGACAAAUGCCCUGCUUCCAGGAAAAGCCUCUAAGCAUCAGGUAACAUCAAAUCGUACCCCAAACCGACACAGGUGGUCAGGUAGAGAAUACCAAGGCGCUUGAGAGAACUCGGGUGAAGG